rnacentral:rRNA from 1 species
ACGCUCGACACCUACGGGAGGCAGCAGUGGGGAAUAUUGCACAAUGGGGGAAACCCUGAUGCAGCGACGCCGCGUGAGCGAAGAAGUAUUUCGGUAUGUAAAGCUCUAUCAGCAGGGAAGAAACUGACGGUACCUGACUAAGAAGCACCGGCUAAAUACGUGCCAACAGCGGGUAAUCUGAGCGGGCUGGCAAGGC